CCUGUUCGAGCGUCAUUUAACCACUCACGCCUAGCGUGGUAUUGGGGCACGCGGUCUCGCGGCCCUCAAAAUUAGUGGCGGCGCCGGUGGGCUCUAAGCGUAGUAUAUACUCCCGCUAUAGAGUUCCUCCGGUGGCUCGCCAGAACCCCCAAUUUUUACAGGUUGACCUCGGAUCAGGUAGGGAUACCCGCUGAACUUAA
rnacentral:misc_RNA from 1 species